GUUGGGUUAAGUCCCGCAACGAGCGCAACCCUUUUCCUUAUUUGCCAGCACUUCGGGUGGGAACUUUAAGGAUACUGCCAGUGACAAACUGGAGGAAGGCGGGGACGACGUCAAGUCAUCAUGGCCCUUACGGCCAGGGCUACACACGUGCUACAAUGGUCGGUACAAAGGGUUGCUACACAGCGAUGUGAUGCUAAUCUCAAAAAGCCGAUCGUAGUCCGGAUUGGAGUCUGCAACUCGACUCCAUGAAGUCGGAAUCGCUAGUAAUCGC
rnacentral:rRNA from 1 species